AAAGGUUUUAAAAUGUUGACAAG
rnacentral:siRNA from 1 species